AGUGAACGCUGGCGGUAGGCCUAACACAUGCAAGUCGAACGGCAGCACAGUAAGAGCUUGCUCUUACGGGUGGCGAGUGGAGGACGGGUGAGGAAUACAUCGGAAUCUACUUUUUCGUGGGUGAUAACGUAGGGAAACUUACGCUAAUACCGCAUACGACCUACGGGUGAAAGCAGGGGAUCUUCGGACCUUGCGCGAUUGAAUGAGCCGAUGUCGGAUUAGCUAGUUGGCGGGGUAAAGGCCCACCAAGGCGACGAUCCGUAGCUGGUCUGAGAGGAUGAUCAGCCACACUGGAACUGAGACACGGUCCAGACUCCUACGGGAGGCAGCAGUGGGGAAUAUUGGACAAUGGGCGCAAGCCUGAUCCAGCCAUGCCGCGUGGGUGAAGAAGGCCUUCGGGUUGUAAAGCCCUUUUGUUGGGGAAGAAAAGCAGCAGGUUAAUACCCCGCUGUUCUGACGGUACCCAAAGAAUAAGCACCGGCUAACUUCGUG
rnacentral:rRNA from 1 species